UGUGACAGCACGCUUGGGCUGCGUUUCCUAAGGCAAAAAAAAAAAAAAAAAACUCAGCUCUUUCAGCUUUCUGCCCGUCUAUUUUUUUUGCCGCUCUCAUUGUCUUUGCCGACAGUGAUAAAGAGAGCAGUUUAACCAGAGCCUGUUUUUUGGAAUAAGAAAAGCAUUGCUGCUUUCUGACUUUGGGAGAAGAUAGAAGAGACUCCUCUGGAAUUUCCCUAGGAAUUUAUCCGGACUGCUCCGUCACCGGGACUUUACAUUCUACCGCGGGGUAUAUA